rnacentral:pre_miRNA from 14 species
UUGUAUUUUUUUUUCUGCCCUGUUACUAAGUACUAGUGCCGCAGGAGUACAUUCGACCUCCUGCUGCUCAAGUGCUUAUCAAUGGGAACAGAUAAUUGACAG